rnacentral:rRNA from 1 species
GACGAACGCUGGCGGCGUGCUUAACACAUGCAAGUCGAACGAGACGAUUGAAAGCUUGCUUUUGAAAGUCGAGUGGCAAACGGGUGAGUAACGCGUAGGCAACCUGCCUCUAGGAUGGGGACAACAGUCCGAAAGGACUGCUAAUACCGAAUGUUGUAUCAAUUCCGCAUGGAGUUGGUAUGAAAGAUGGCCUCUACUUGUAAGCUAUCACCUAGAGAUGGGCCUGCGUCUGAUUAGCUAGUUGGUGGGGCAACGGCCUACCAAGGCGACGAUCAGUAGCCGGUCUGAGAGGAUGAACGGCCACAUUGGAACUGAGACACGGUCCAGACUCCUACGGAGGCAGCAGUGGGGAAUCUUCCGCAAUGGGCGAAAGCCUGACGGAGCAACGCCGCGUGAGUGAAGAAGGCC